GCCGCCGCCGCCGCCGCCGCCGUUCAUUCUCCGGUCGACCACUGUCGGUGCUUGUUUGUGUUGCCGUAUAACAGUUGUACUUUAGCCAGCGGUUUCCGAAGAUCGAUUUUCAUUUCAUCAAUUUUCGACGACGAAUAAUUAUUGCCACUAAAUCACAAUCUCAUCAUGACAUCACCCGCAGCAUCGCCACAAAAGCCAGCCAUUACCAACUCGACCGCGUCUCCAGUCCGUUUGCCGAGCGUACAGCCGACUCCAACGCACAACUCGCAGCCCACCGCCGCGCAGUCCGUCCAGGGUAAAUGGCAGUGCGCUCUGAGGGACAACCCGGUGAUCGCCAGCGGAACUAUGGCUUGGACGCGAGUGUGGAGAUUCUCCAAGCUUCUGCUGCAGACCGGGUGUUAGGAAAAUGCAACGGCGGAUUUUCACACUAAUAAAUUAUUACUCUCUCUCUCUCUCUCUUUCACUCUCUAUCUCUCUGUUUUUCAGUGUCGACAAGAAAAGACAACUUUUUUAUUUUAGAAUAAACAAUAGUCGUAUAUAUCAUAUAUGUACGUAUAAAUUUCACUAUAGUUCGGAGUAGUUACUAUCGACGUGUAUGUUUAAUGAUUCCAAACAAUAACAACACGGCCGUAAUGUAAUAUACGACUAAUAAAUAUAAAAGACUACAAUAAUGACGUCUAAUACAUUUAUAUAUGUAUGGACUAGUGUGAUGUACGUUAAGUAAGAGGUUAGUUGUAACAUAUUGAUGUAUGAUCCACACCGAGGCGUAUUGUAACGCGAUCCCUGCCCGCAUUGUCUUGUACCUAUAUUAUAUUAUUUAGACUUAGUACAAUAAUGCCACAAUAUUAUAUAAUUUGUUAACUACUCUUGAAUUAAUGAUUUUUUUUUACUAUAGUAAGCGUUAUUAUUAUUUUUAUUUUUUAGAAUUUAUUGAUUAUAUUGACUACUGUAAAAUCGCGUCAACCAAAGUUUUUAAUUGUUAAAUAUUAUAAUUAUAUAAUCGCAUAUCCGAAAUUCGAUGCAUCGAUUGUACAUGUGUGACUGCAAUGUAACGUUGUAAGAUAUGUGUAUUUAUAUAUAUUUAUAUAUAUAGUAUAAAAAAUAUCAAGAAACAAUUAUUCGACCAUAUUUUGCAUUGUACAAUGACGGAUAUGGUUAAAAACAGAAAAUCCAUUGAUAAGCCGAGAAGAAUCCUAUUUUAUCAUUGAAUAUGCCAUUUAUGUUUCGAAUAAAAGCUUACCACAGACAUGUCUAUUACGUGUGGAAAGCUAAAAUAUAAUACGAUCAUAGGUACAUUUAAGAUAAAUUACGUUUGUUAAAAAUAAAUUACAUUAUAAUAAGACCAAGGUAUAUUUAAUUGUGAUUAAUGAAAUCGAAAUGCACCUAUAUUCCUAUUAAUUUUCUAUAUUGAUUUAUUGAAUAAACAACAGUAUAACAAAUUGGUCAAAUGUUCUUGAAAAUUCGCAAACCCUACGGAACGCGACAUUGUAACGAUCAUAGACGAGUACAUAAAUAAUGUUUAGAAAUUCGGAUAUAAUAAAAACGAUAUGACGUGAAUUGUCACUAGUAAAUAUAACACUAAUAUUUGUGACAUUUUUUUUUUCGUUCCUUUGCGAGGCUCUACAAAACUACGUAAUUUUAUUGGAUAAUAAAACAAUAAUAAUAAUUAUAGGCAAUAUUGUAAUGACAGGGACGUACCAUACAACUGUACUGUGCAAUUACUAAUCAUAGGUACCUAUUAUACUAUAGAUAUAACAUUGUGCAAUUAGACUACUGUUUUAAGUUGUUGUGUGCUCUUAAAGUAGCAAUAAAAAUAAAAUGCAACCGUUACCCGUAAUUGUUAGUAUACACGUUAACGAUUUUACUUCUAUUAUGCCGGGUUGCGUUAAUAAUCAUUAAACAUUUCACGAAUCAAUACAGUGAGCUAAAGAUCUCUUAUGUACCUACACGAUUGUUUCAUUGAAAUUUAGUAAAUCAAUUAAAUGAAUUACAUUUUUCAGCAACCCGGAUCUAUUAGCAUAGAUAAGUGUUUUCUGUAAUUUGAAAGUUUGUAUUUGUUAGCUGUUUAUCAUAUUAUUAUAUUGUUCUCAAUAAUUUAAGUAACCGUAAUUCGUUAUUUGAAUUUACUAAAUUAUAUGAAAUUUUACUCUAUCAUUUAAAAUAAGCACGUUGUCUAACUUCGAUACGUAGUAGGUACGUUGUGUAUUGGUACCCAAUUGUAAACCAAUAAUUUGAUUUCGUUACUAAAUUCCCGUCUGCUUUUUCGUUAGCAUUAUCAUAUUAUUAUUUAUCACAUUAUGAAUGAGUACAAACCAAUUCUGUUCAGUACUAUUGUCAUUUUAAACGAGCAAAUUAUAAUUAUUACAAACUUAACAAUAAUACCGAAGACGCGUACCAAUUAUAAAUUAAUAUAUUUAUUACCUAUUUGCCUUGAUUUACGAUUGUUGAAUUGUAUAUCUCAUGAUCAACUGAAAGGUAUAAGUAAUAAUUAUUGUUAUACUUAUAAAUUAUGAUAUUUGCUAAUAUUGGUAAUGCAUUUUUACGUUUCAAUGUAUACUAGUUUAUGUGACGUUUUAUAUUUUUAAAUUACAUUUUGUAGUGUGUUUCUUAAACAUUGUUUAACGUAUGGAUUGUUGUAAGUAAAUUUUUACAAUUUAUUAUUAUUAUAAUUAUAAAAAUACAUUAAAAUCAC